UUGACCUCAAAUCAGGUAGGACUACCCGCUGAACUUAAGCAUAUCAAUAAGCGGAGGAAAAGAAACUAACAAGGAUUCCCCUAGUAACUGCGAGUGAAGCGGGAAAAGCUCAAAUUUGAAAUCUGGCGGUUUCUUGACCGUCCGAGUUGUAAUCUAGAGAAGUGUUGCCUGUGCUGGACCRUGUACAAGUCUCCUGGAAUGGAGCAUCAUAGAGGGUGAGAAUCCCGUCUUUGACAUGGACUGCCUGUACGUGAUGGUGCGCUUUCAAAGAGUCGAGUUGUUUGGGAAUGCAGCUCAAAAUGGGUGGUAAAUGCCAUCUAAAGCUAAAUAUUGGCGAGAGACCGAUAGCGAACAAGUACCGUGAGGGAAAGAUGAAAAGAACUUUGGAAAGAGAGUUAAACAGUAYGUGAAAUUGCUGAAAGGGAAACGCUUGAAGUCAGUCGCGUCGGCUAGAAAUCAGCCUUGCUUUUGCUUGGUGCACUUUCUGGUUCGAUGGGUCAGCAUCAAUUUUGACCACUGGAWAAAGUCUCUGGGAAUGUGGCAUCUCUGGAUGUGUUAUAGCCCAUUGUCGCAUACGGUGGUUGGGAUUGAGGAGCUCAGCACGCCGCAAGGCCGGGUUUCGACCACGUUUCGUGCUUAGGAUGCUGGCAUAAUGGCUUUAAUCGACCCGUC
rnacentral:rRNA from 1 species